rnacentral:rRNA from 1 species
AGUGAACGCUGGCGGCGUGGAUUAGGCAUGCAAGUCGAGCGAUCUUUUUAUGGGCUCUGCAUUUUGACGCAAGGAGAAAUGCAGGGUCUGUUUAAGGAUAGCGGCAAACGGGUGAGUAAUACGUGAGUAACUUACCUCUAUGUCGGGGAUAGCCUUGCGAAAGUAAGGGUAAUACCUGAGUGGCCUUGAUAACAUAAGUUGUCAAGGUUAAAGGUAUCCGCAAGGAUGCCGUAUAGAGAUGGACUCGCGUCCUAUCAGCUAGUUGGUAGGGUAACGGCCUACCAAGGCUUUGACGGGUAGCUGGCCUGAGAGGGUGGUCAGCCACAUGGGGACUGAGACACUGCCCUGACUCCUACGGGAGGCUGCAGUCGAGAAUAUUUAGCAAUGGGCGAAAGCCUGACUAUGCGACGCCGCGUGAGGGAUGAAGGUCUUCGGAUUGUAAACCUCUUUCAAUGGGGAAGAAUUCAGACGGUACUCAGAGAAGAAGCCACGGCUAACUCCGUGCCAGCAGCCGCGGUAAUACGGAGGUGGCUAGCGUUACUCGGAUUUACUGGGUGUAAAGGGCAGGUAGGCGUCUUGAUAAGUUCUUGGUGAAAUCCUUCUGCUUAACAGAAGAACUGCCGAGAAGACUAUCAAGAUUGAGACUAGGAGAGGAGAGUGGAAUUCCCAGUGUAAGGGUGAAAUCUGUAGAUAUUGGGAGGAACACCAGUUGCGAAGGCGGCUCUCUAGCCUAGAUCUGACGCUGAGCUGCGAAAGCUAGGGGAGCAAACAGAAUUAGAUACUCUGGUAGUCCUAGCUGUAAACGAUGAGCACUAGGUGUUGGCUCUGAAUAAGGGUCAGUGUCGUAAGAUAACUCGUUAAGUGCUCCACCUGAGGACACGGCCGCAAGGCU